UACGUAGGGUGCGAGCGUUAAUCGGAAUUACUGGGCGUAAAGGGUGCGCAGGCGGCGUCGCAAGUCAGGCGUGAAAUCCCCGGCUUAACCUGGGAACUGCACUUGAAACUACGAUGCUGGAGUAUGGCAGAGGGAGGUGGAAUUCCGACGUGUAGCGGUGAAAUGCGUAGAGGAUGUGGAGGAACACCGAUGGCGAAGGCAGCCUCCUGGGCCAACUACUGACGCUCAUGCACGAAGCGUGGGAGCGAACAG
rnacentral:rRNA from 1 species